UUGCAACAACAGAUCUACCACCAUUAACCAGGCAGGAAGAGCUGCACGAAAGGAGCUUGAAAUUACCCCGUGGGAGGGUCUGCAAGCCGAUGGCACAGCGUUCCCCUGGCGAAGAUCACGCAUGUUGAAGGAACUUCAAAGCCAC